rnacentral:misc_RNA from 1 species
AUAGGAGUUCGCGCGCUUUCUCGGAGCGCGCAGCGCGCAGGAGCGCGUAAAGCGCGAUUGUGGAUUUGUUGUUGUGUGUUGUGGUUGGGUGCUGCUAGUCGGUAACUUAGCAUUUUUCCAAGAUGGGUGAUCUUGGUGUGAUUGAGGUGGAUCAGUAUUUAAGAGAUAUCCAGAGAGACUAUCUUGACUUCUUGGAUGAUGAGGAAGAUCAAGGGAUUUACAUGCAUCUUGUUCGGGACAUGAUGGAAAAUCAGAAGACCAGACUCAUUGUGAACGUGAAUGACCUGAGGAAUAAGCUGCCUAAGCGAGUGGCCGGACUCAUGAAAAAUGCCUUCGAAGAGCUCAGCUGUUUUCAGCGUGCUCUCAUGGAGUAUGCUGGAGCAGCGGACCCAGUCUAUGCUAAGCAGCAUGAAGAACUCAGCAUUGGUCUUGAGGGAAGCUUCGGCUCUCAUCAUGUCAGUCCAAGGACUCUGACUUCAAAGUUUCUCGGCUCGGUCGUCUGCGUCGAAGGCAUCGUGACAAAAUGUUCGCUGGUUCGGCCGAAGGUGGUGAAGAGCGUUCACUUUUGUCCGGCCACCGGGAAAACGAUCGAACGCCGCUACACCGAUAUGACGUCACUGGACGCCUUCCCGUCGGGCUCCGCGUAUCCAACGAAGGACGAUGAGGGUAACCUGCUGGAAACUGAGUUUGGCCUGUCCAGAUACAAGGACCAUCAGACGCUGACCAUUCAGGAAAUGCCGGAGAAGGCGCCCGCAGGUCAGCUGCCGCGCUCUGUGGACGUGGUGUGUGACGGCGACCUGGUGGACCGGUGUAAGCCCGGCGACCGCGUCCAGCUGGUAGGCACCUACCGCUGCCUGCCCGGGAAACAGAACGGCUUCACCUCGGGCACCUUCCGCACCAUCCUGAUCGCCAACAACGUCUCCCUGCUCAGCAAGGAGGCGUCGCCCACCAUCACCGCCGACGACGUCAAACUCUGCAGGAAGUUCUGCAAGGCCAAACGGAAGGAUGUUUUUGACCUCCUAGCCCACUCUCUGGCGCCUUCAAUUCACGGUCAUGAGUACAUCAAGAAGGCUCUUCUGUGCCUUUUGCUCGGCGGAGAAGAGAAGAUUCUUCCCAACGGAACCCGUCUCCGAGGCGACAUCAACGUGCUGCUGAUCGGCGACCCGUCGGUGGCCAAGUCUCAGCUGCUGCGCUACGUACUGCACACGGCGCCGCGAGCCAUCACCACUACGGGCCGCGGCUCGUCGGGAGUGGGUCUGACGGCGGCCGUCACCACCGACCAGGAGACCAACGAGCGCAGACUGGAGGCCGGCGCCAUGGUACUCGCCGACCGCGGCGUCGUCUGUAUCGACGAGUUCGAUAAGAUGACCGACAUGGACCGAACGGCCAUCCACGAGGUGAUGGAACAGGGACGCGUCACCAUCGCCAAAGCCGGCAUCCACGCCAAGCUGAACGCACGCUGCUCGGUGCUGGCCGCCGCCAACCCCGUCUACGGCCGGUAUGACCAGUACAAGACUCCGAUGGAGAACAUUGGCCUGCAGGACUCGCUGCUCUCUCGGUUCGACCUGCUGUUCAUCGUGCUGGACACAAUCGACGCCGAGAGUGACCGGCGCAUCUCCGACCACGUAGUGCGCAUGCACCGCUACCGGUCUCCGAACGAAGAGGACGGCGCUGUGCUGCCGCUGGGCUCGGGGAUCGACCUGCUGGCCACCGCUAGCGUGGCGGAGGAGGAGGAGCCCGAGAAAACCACCAUCUACGAGAAACACGACCCGCUCCUCCACGGAAAACGCGAACACGGUGCCGGUAAAAUCAUCAGCAUGAACUUCAUCCGCAAGUACAUCCACAUCGCCAAGGAGAUGAAGCCGAAGCUGUCGAACCAGGCGUGCACUGCGAUCUCUGAGGAGUACUCUCGGCUGAGGUCGCAGGACAACACCAACAACGACAUGGCUAAGACCCAGCCGAUCACGGCCCGAGCGCUGGAGACGCUGAUCCGACUGGCCACGGCACACGCCAAGUGCCGCCUCAGCCCCACUGUCGACAUGCAGGACGCCCACUCGGCCAUCGAGCUCCUCCAGUUCGCCAUCUUCAAAAAGGUGGACAAGAAGCCGGCGAAGAGUCGACGACGCCGGGACGACGGCACUGACACAGAGGGAGAGGGCGACGGCGAGGAGGGCUCCGAGCGACCCAGGGCGAAGCGGCCCCGUCGCCAGCCGGGCGAGGAGGGUUACGACCCGUACGACUACGACUCUGACGAGGCCGACGAGGAGCCGCCGACGCUGCGCUCGCCGCGGCCCACGGCCGGCUCCUCGGCUCCGGAGAGUAUGGAUACGGCCGAGCCGGCCGAGCCAGUCGAGAAGGCCAUCACUGAGGAGAGGUUCUCCGUGUUCAAGACGUCCCUGCAGAACCUUCUCAAGGAGCGGCGCACGCAGACGCUGCCGAUGGCCGAGGUGCGCUCCUACCUGGCCGAACAGCACGCAGCGCGGCCCUUCACCACCGGGGAGGUGGAGGCCGCCACCGAUCGCAUGAUGGAGGCCAACCAGCUGAUGGUGGCCGACGACCAGCUCUUCCUCAUCUAGACGGCGCCUCGGGCUCUGUUCAGUGGCCAACCAGCUCUUCCUCAUCUAGGCGGCGCCUCGGGUCCCGGGGAAGCAUGCGAUGGAUUCCAAAUAGCUGGCGCCUGGCCGUUCUUGGAGCGCUGGUAAAAUGGGCGUUGAAGUAACGCCUAAAUAGGAAUGUUGGCUCGACCUGUGCUUUGGGUAGAUCAGAACAGCGCCUGGUUUGUACCUAAUGCGAGAUGUAACAGCUGAGAGGGACCACGCCAUAUGUUCAUGGCAACUUCCACUUCUGACGACUGGCUGACUUCCGGCGUGCCAUGUGACUCGGACGUGGCCUCGUUUCCCGGAAGACUGUGUAUCUGUGUGUCUGGGGGUGCGGAAGGUUGGCGCCAGAGGCACAGCCCGCGAUACUGAAGGCGGCGAUAUCGGUCUGACCGGAAGGGAGCGGCUGAGAACGAACAGAAGCCACCCGAGAGUUUCCCACCCGGCUGCCCGUGACCGCCUCACCGACAGCCUCGGGAGAAAGUCCGGAGCCGGGAUCUCCCACUGGCGACAUGUCCAACUCUCCGCCGACCCGUGCUCCCCCAUUAUGUAAGUACCUGUUGGACCGUGCGUUUUGUAUGGAUGGCCACAUGCGGUUGGCGCAGUUGCUGCCCCCCGGCUCGCUGUUGGUCUGCUGUCGACCUGUGUGGAUGACGGCCUUCGAAUACACUGUUUUUGCAAAAAAAAAAA